UACGUAGGGUGCAAGCGUUAAUCGGAAUUACUGGGCGUAAAGCGUGCGCAGGCGGUUAUGUAAGACAGGUGUGAAAUCCCCGGGCUUAACCUGGGAACUGCAUUUGUGACUGCAUAGCUAGAGUACGGUAGAGGGGGAUGGAAUUCCGCGUGUAGCAGUGAAAUGCGUAGAUAUGCGGAGGAACACCGAUGGCGAAGGCAAUCCCCUGGACCUGUACUGACGCUGAGACGCGAAAGCGUGGGGAGCGAACAGG
rnacentral:rRNA from 1 species